GCACCAGCGGCACGUGAACGAAACUGGCGAUGCGAGGGCCGACUUUCGUUGGUUCCCGCCUUUCGGAAUCAUGCCGUGCCCGCGUGGCCUCGAUGGCGCGCCAGCUCAGAUAGUUGCAGAGGUAGUAUCCAGCGCUCAACGAGGCGCGGGCAUCUAUCCCGGUCUGUUGGGCGGCGCGCAGCAGCUNNNNNNNNAGGUGUGCGGUCCGAAACGGCGCGUCGAAUCCGAGCCCGCAACGAUAGUCCGGCUGCGAAC
rnacentral:misc_RNA from 1 species